UACGUAGGUGGCAAGCGUUUGUCCGGAUUUAUUGGGUUUAAAGGGUGCGUAGGCGGCCCUGUAAGUCAGUGCUGAAAUAUCCCGGCUUAACCGGGAGGGUGGCAUUGGAUACUGCGGGGCUAGAGUACAGAUGAGGUAGGCGGAAUUGACGGUGUAGCGGUGAAAUGCUUAGAUAUCGUCAAGAACACCUAUAGCGAAGGCAGCUUACUAGGCUGUAACUGACGCUGAGGCACGAAAAGUGUGGGGGAUCAAAACAGG
rnacentral:rRNA from 1 species